GAUGGAGAUGAACAAACUGAAGCUGCGAACUCCGAACUGUGCUAGAUUCAAGUUCGAUCGAUCUUCUUCAUUUCCAUUUGAGGUUGAGGUGAUCGUUCUCCAUCUCAGACUUUAUUGUUCUUUGUUUCUGAUGCUUUUUUUUGUUUUUGGUAAAUAACAUCUAACUUUAAAGCUUUAGAUUUAUGCCAUGGAUUUUUUAUUUGUCAAGAGCAUGGAUUUAUUAUUUGUCAAGAGUAUUUAAUCAUGUUUCUAUAAAAAGCAAAUGAAUAACUCUCCUCUGCUCAUAUAUAUUAGAUCAACAGAUCAAACUACUCUUUGUACAAAAACAUAUAGCUGCUGCUCUAUGGAUCUAACUUUUAUUUUUCUUCAUACAUCACAUAAGAUGAGGUGUGGAAAUUUUUAGAUCCCAUGUUAAAUAAGAGACAAGAUCAUAUUGCUCAAUAAUUCAUAUUAAUGUGCAACUAGACCACUGCUUAUGCAUAAGUUACAAAUUCAUUUUGAACAGUCUAUCGCUCUAAGGUUAAAAAAAAUUGUUGAUUUAUGCUAUUUAUUUGUGCAUGUUUUUGGCGGGAAGUGUGAAGGAUAAGAUGACGUUAUUGUUGUAUAAGUUGGGGGAGACAUUUUUGUCCAAGUUAGCAGAGAAGUUGGUGGAUAUUGCACUGAGCAAAAAAGACGAGGCCACUUUCGAAUCUCUGCAAACUAACAUGAGGUUACUGCGUGCUAAAGCAUCUGAUGUCGAAGAUGCAAUCAAGAGGGAUGAGCAAUCCGGAAAAAGGAAAAGGAAAAGGAAAAGAGAAGUUGGAGAUUGGUUAGAACAAGUUCAAUCAAUUGACAAUGAACUUGGUAUAUUGGAAAAUGAAAUGCGAAUGGAAGGCUUUGUGACACAAUUCUUUGGUGGAGGUCGAGCUGCAAAACUAGAAGCAAGAAUGCGCGAGCUGGUAGAGCAAAGGCAGCAUUUUGGCGAGCUUGUAGUUGAUGAUUAUGAGAUCAAGGGAGACAAGUUUUGUGUUGGGGAGUUAGUAGGUAAGCAAUUCAAGAAAAAUUUGGAAACAAUUUUGAGUUUCCUGUCGUCUGAUGGGGUGUCGAGCAUUGGGAUUUAUGGCAUGGGGGGUGUUGGUAAAACAACACUUGCCAAGAAUGUAAAUAAUCAUCUCCAAGUACAAAGAAGCGUGCAUGUUGUAUGGAUCACGGUGUCUCAAGAGUUUACAAUUUCGAUUUUGCAAGAUGAAAUAGCUAAAUCCAUCGGCCAUCGUCUCUUAAACGAGAGGAAUGAAGAUAAAAGAGCAUCUCAAUUGAAUGCAAUGCUAUCCAAAAUAAACAAUCUUGUUAUUAUAUUUGAUGAUGUUUGGAAGUAUAUUGAUUUGAAAAAGUUGGGAGAUCCGCUCUCUCUGAAUGGAUGUAAAAUAGUGAUAACUUCUCGCUCAAAAAAAGUGUGCGAUCAAUUGGAUUGCAACAAAAUAAUGAAGGUGGAGACGCUGCAAGAAAAUGAAGCGUGGUUUUUAUUCAAAGAUACACUUGGGCGAGAUGUGAAGUUAACUUUGGAAGUCCAAGAAAUUGCCAAGUGUAUGGUUAAAGUAUGUGAUGGUCUGCCGCUAGGUGUUAUCACUAUUGCAGGAAGCAUGAAGGGUGAGACUGAGGUUCAUGUAUGGAGUGAUGCAUUGGCAGAAUUGAGGGCAUCCAUCAUGGGGCAAGACGACAUGGAAGAGCAUGUGUUUAAAGUUCUUAAAUAUAGCUUUGACCGAUUGGAUCAAUGCGAAGGAAAGAAUAAAGGGUAUUCGAAGUUUCAACACUGUUUCCUAUAUUGCUCCUUAUAUCCAGAAGAUUGGAAUAUAGAGGAAGAGCAUUUGAUCCGAUAUUUUAUUUUAGAGGAGUUUAUGGAAAAAAGAGAUAAAAGGAAAGAACUCUUUAACCAAGGUCGCACCAUAGUCAACAGAUUAGUGAAUGUUUGCUUACUAGAAAGAGUAAGCCACAGAGUAGUAAAGAUGCAUGAUUUAAUGAGAGCUAUGGCAUUAAAGAUUGCUGAAGGUAAGACCAUGGUAAUAUCGGGGCACUAUUCCUUGAAGACUAUUCCGACUGAAGAAGUAUGGGGCAAUGACCUCGAGAAGAUGUCUUUGAUGCGUAAUGGCAUAAGUAAAAUACCAGAUGCAUUGUCUCCAAGCUAUCACAAGUUGUCAACAUUACUUUUGGCCGAAAAUUUUUCCCUGGACUACAUACCAAAUUCAUUCUUCCUGCAAAUGUGCAGCCUAUUCAUCCUUGAUUUGUCGGGGACUAGGAUCAAGAUGUUACCAAAUUCUGUCUCAGACAUUACAAGCCUUAAAGGGUUGAUCCUUGCAAGUUGUUCUAAACUCGAAUAUUUGCCUUACUUGGGAAAACUCAAGAAUUUGAAGGAGUUGGAUCUCUCAUUCAGUGGAAUACAAGAAAUUCCUCAAGGCGUGGAAGAAUUAUUGGAUCUCAAUUUUUUGUCAUUUAAUGGCACCCGCCACUUGAAAAAGCUACCAAGUUGUUUGGUAUCCAAGUUUACAUAUCUUCAAUGUCUCUACCUUCCACGCGAUAAAUACGUUCCAGUGGAAGAAAUACUGAAGCUAAAGCAGUUGGAGGAGUUUCGAGGGAUAUUGAAAGAUGUUUAUGAUUAUAAUUUGUUGAUGAGAAAUAGGCCAGAUUUAGCUUACUCCAUCAGUAUAGGAUCGGUUUGUAUUGAUCCGUGGGGCUUUUAUAAUCGGUUGGAGUUACGGCAUUGUGACCUUCAUUCAAGUAAGGACAAAGACGUGACUAUACUGGCCGGAGACAUCCAACAUCUACGAUUGAUCAAGUGUAAGGGGUUGAGCAAGUGUUUAGUGGAAGAUCUCAGGCUGGUUUUCAAUAAUCCCACUUCAAUAGAAAGCUUGGAAAUUGAGGAUUGUGAAGAAAUAGAGUGCCUUUCGAGGAUCGAACAAUCCACAUUUACAUCAGCAUCCAUAUCAUCACACAUCCAUUUCUGGUCACUUAUCCAGCUGAGGAUUUAUAAGUGCAACAAGGUGAAGAAGCUCGGGGUACCAGCAUCGGAUCUCCAGACCUUGAAAUUUCUCAGAAUUGCUGAUUGUGAAAUGAUAGAAGAGAUAUUUGAAAUGAAGCAAGGCACCGGCAGAGGAGGAGAAUCCAGAGAAGCAUCUACGGCCUGCCAGCUCCCCAAACUAGAGUCUUUACAACUUCAAAAUCUACCAGAUUUGAAGAGCAUCUGCCACACAACAACAGUCUGCAGUUCGAUUAGUCAUAUCACUUUACAAAAAUGCCGAGCAUUGCUUAAGUUUUCUUUGGUUUUCGGACAGCCAAGUGAUGAUUAUGACGAUGAUAUGGCUCCAACAGCCCUCAAAGAAAUUGAAUUAUUGAAGAGUGAGAAGGAAUGGUGGGAGAAGUUGGAGUUGGGGCAUCCCUCACACCAUUCUCUCCUACAACCAUUUAUUCAAUGGAACUGAAGCCAUAAUCAGGUGGAAUCACAUGAAGAGACCCCAAACUGUGUUAGAACAUACAUUUAAUUCAAGGCUGGCAUUUCUCCAUAUCAAAUUUUUUAAAGGUACGUGUUCUGCAUGAUUUCUCAAUACUGUAUGGUAUAUCCCGGGCGUGUUGGGCACAGAGGAUGGCUGGUCUAGGCCUCAGCGUGGGCUUGGCCUAGGGGUCGGGCGUGUCAGCUUUCGGACACGUUACAUAUGGUAUCAGAGCCGACCUUGGCGUUGGUGACGAACGAAGCGACAAAGUGGGCAUAUCUCGAGUCAAGGAGCAUGUCAGUGGACACGUCAAGGAUGAUCAAGAGGAUCAUGUCCUAAGGAAACUGGACAGUCCGACGUUGCCGAGCACGUCAAGGAAGAGCAUGUCCUAAGAUAACUGGACAUCCCAAGGAGGGGGAGUAUACUCGACGUUGCUGAAAAGGCCAAGAGGGCCGAGCUUUGUUCAUGAGGGAAAAACCAGUACUCGGGCGAAAAUCACACAAGCCGCAAAAAGGAUGUCUCGAAUGGUGUGUGGAGAUGCGUAGCGGAAGUUGGGUCGCACAUGGAUUAUGGCAAAAGACCUCGCUGGCUGUUGGUGAGCACCAAAAGAAUGGUAUGCAGGAAAAGGUUCGGCGGAGGCAUACCGAGGGUGCAAGAAACAACGUUAGUGCACUCAAGUAGCGUCGCACGAGGGCGUUUACGACUGACCUGAAGUGGGGGAGUUUGUCAUGAGCUGACAUUCCUGUCCCUGGUUCUCGGCCAUAGUUCGUCCCAUGUGUGCGAGCCCCUGUCCUGUACGACCGACUAAUGACCCAUAUCUUGGUGCAGGUACGUGUGUUCCGCAUGAUUCUCCCAUAGUAUAUGGUGCGCACAAGACUCUCUGGGCCUCAGCGCGGGCGUGGCCUAGGCGCCGGAUGUGUCAGCUUUUGGACACGUUACAACCGUCUCUUUUGAUGUAUAGGGCAGCCUCAUUUGGACUCCGUUUGAAACUAUUGCGAAGAAAUGAGUGGCCGAGGAGAAUUCAGUCGAGCAUCUUUGGUCGGCCUCCCCAAACUAGAGGAUCUUAAGUCUUCAAAAUCUGGUCGGCCUCCCCAAACUAGAGGAUCUAAGUCUUCAAAAUCUACCAAAAUUGAAGACCAUCUUCCUUACAACAACAGUCUGCGGUUCGAUUAAUUGUAUCACGUCGGGAAAAUACCGAGCUUUGCAGGUUUUUGGAAAGCCAAGCGAUGAUGAUGAUGAUGACGAUGAUAUGCCUCCAACAGGUUUCGAAAAAUUUUGCUUAAUGGAUAAUGAGAGGAAUGGUGGGAGAAGUUGGAAUUGGGACAUCCCUAAACCAUUAUCUGCUACAACCAUUUAUUGUAUGGCUUUGAAGCCAUAGCCAGGUGUAGGGAUGACAAUGGGUUCGGACAGAACGAGACCUGACUACGGAACCGACCCAUUUAUUUAGGAUUGGGUUCAAUUAUUCGGAUAUUGGAUCCAGAUUCGGGUAUCUUAUAUCCUUAUCAGGUCCAGGUCGGGUCUUGGGUCCAAGGGUGGAUCCUACUAAUAUAUUAAUUAUAUAUAUAUAAAAAAAAAAUAUUUUUAAUAAUAUAAAUUAUAUUAAAAAUAUGUUUUUACUUUAAUUUAUUUAUUUUUAUUAUUUUAUUAUAAUAUUUUUAAAUAAGAUAUAUCACUUUUAAUGUAUGCCGGGUCCGGAUCAGAGUUCGAGUCCAAUUAUUAAUGAAAAUUCAAAUAGUCUUUUAACAUUAAUAAUAUUUUAUAUUAUAUAAUUCUAAUAACAAGAGAAAGAUUAAUAGUCCUUACUUACUACUAUUAUAUUUAACUUUUACUUUGUUUUGGAUAUAAUAAUAUAUAGUAAAUAUAUACUAAAUUUGUUAUCCACCGUAAUCAUCCAAAAGUAAAAGUAUCGCCGCCAAAUAUUCAAUUUCCAUAUCUUCAAUGUCUUUAUCUUCCAUGGGAUCAAUAUGUUCCAGUGGAAGAAAUACUGCAGCUGAAGCAUUUGGAGGAGUUUCCUGGGAAAUUGAAGGAUGUUUGUGAUUAUAAUUUGUUGAUGAGAAACAAGCCUGGUUUAGAAUACUCCAUCUUUAUAGGAUCAUUGAUGUAUUUUGGCCAGUUUGUCGGCUUUUAUAAUCAGGUUGAGUUCCAUGAUUAUGACUUCGAUUCGAGUAAGGACAAAGAUGCGACUACAAUGGCUGGAGACAUCCAACAUCUCGGAUUUACUAAGUUUAAGGGGUUGAGCAAGUGUUUGGCUGAUGCUCUCAAACAGGUUUUCAAAAAUCCCACUUCAAUAGGAAACUUGACAAUUGAGGAGUGUGAUGAAAUAGAGUCCCUUUCAAGGAUCGAACAGUCCAUGUCAUCACACGUCUUUUUCUCGUCAUUAAAGAAGCUGGAUAUUGAUAGUUGCAACGAUAUGAAGAAGCUCGGGCUACCAGCAGUGCAUCUCCAGAACCUGGAAUUUCUCAGUAUUGUUGGUUGUGAAAUGAUUGAAGAGAUAUUUGAAAUGAAGCUGCAAUUCGGAGAAGCAUCUAUGGUUUUCCAGCUCCCCAAAUUAGAGUAUCUACGUCUUCAUAAUCUGCCAAAAUUGAAGAGCAUCUGCCAUACAACGACAAUCUGCAGUUCAAUUUAUUACAUCACAUUGGAAAAUUGUCCAGCAUUACACAAGUUUUGUUUGGCUUUCGGACAGCCGAGUGAUGAUGAUGAUAUUGCUCCACCAACAGCUCUCAAGGAAAUUGAAUUACUGAAUAGUGAGAAGGAAUGGUGGGAGAAGUUGGAGUUGGGGCAUCCCUCGCACCAUUCUCUCCUACAGCCAUUCAUUCGAUGGAGAUGAACAAACUGAAGCUGCGAACUCCAACCUGUGUUAAAAAAAAAAUAAAAACCUGUGUAAGAACAUUUAGUUAAUUAAGGUUGAAUAAACCUUUGUGCGGUUAUUUUUAGUUAUACUUUAAUCUAAUGUAACACAUUUCGUUUACUUGUCUAUAAAAUAUUUUCUAAGAGAAAAUUGCAAAAAAUAUCCC